rnacentral:rRNA from 1 species
UGGGGAAUAUUGCACAAUGGACGGAAGUCUGAUGCAGCAACGCCGCGUGCGGGAUGACGGCCUUCGGGUUGUAAACCGCUUUUUCUCAUGACGAAGUUUUUUGACGGUAGUGGGGGAAGAAGCACCGGCUAACUACGUGCCAGCAGUCGCGGUGAUACGUAGGGUGCGAGCGUUGUCCGGAAUUAUUGGGCGUAAAGAGCUUGUAGGCGGUUUGUCGCGUCGAUAGUGCAAACUCAGUGCUUAACGCUGAGCCUGCUGUUGAUACGGGCAGACUAGAGGAAGGUAGGGGAGAAUGGAAUUCCCGGUGGAGCGGUGGAAUGCGCAGAUAUCGGGAGGAACACCGGUGGCGAAGGCGGUUCUCUGGGCCUUUCCUGACGCUGAGAAGCGAAAGCGUGGGGAGCGAACAGG